rnacentral:misc_RNA from 1 species
UUCACAAGCAGGAUCACUAACCCCCAUCCUGAUACAAGCCAAAAGCAAGUCAAAUCAUGAAUCAAUAACUCACAAGAAUACGAUCUAUAAAUCACAUUUGCAAUGCAAUGAGGANNGCAAUGCAAUGAGGAAAUAAGUAUCAAAAAGAAGGAAUCCACUGGGCAAAACUACAUAAAUAUGAAACAAAGGAUGUGACGCAGCUUGUCAAUACCAUAU